rnacentral:rRNA from 1 species
ACUGAUUUCAACAAUGAAGCGAGUGGCGAACUGGUGAGUAACACGUGGGAAAUCUGCCCAGAAGCAGGGGAUAACACUUGGAAACAGGUGCUAAUACCGUAUAACAACAAAAUCCGCAUGGAUUUUGUUUGAAAGGUGGCUUCGGCUAUCACUUCUGGAUGAUCCCGCGGCGUAUUAGUUAGUUGGUGAGGUAAAGGCCCACCAAGACGAUGAUACGUAGCCGACCUGAGAGGGUAAUCGGCCACAUUGGGACUGAGACACGGCCCAAACUCCUACGGGAGGCAGCAGUAGGGAAUCUUCCACAAUGGACGAAAGUCUGAUGGAGCAAUGCCGCGUGAGUGAAGAAGGGUUUCGGCUCGUAAAACUCUGUUGUUAAAGAAGAACACCUUUGAGAGUAACUGUUCAAGGGUUGACGGUAUUUAACCAGAAAGCCACGGCUAACUACGUGCCAGCAGCCGCGGUAAUACGUAGGUGGCAAGCGUUGUCCGGAUUUAUUGGGCGUAAAGCGAGCGCAGGCGGUUUUUUAAGUCUGAUGUGAAAGCCUUCGGCUUAACCGGAGAAGUGCAUCGGAAACUGGGAGACUUGAGUGCAGAAGAGGACAGUGGAACUCCAUGUGUAGCGGUGGAAUGCGUAGAUAUAUGGAAGAACACCAGUGGCGAAGGCGGCUGUCUAGUCUGUAACUGACGCUGAGGCUCGAAAGCAUGGGUAGCGAACAGGAUUAGAUACCCUGGUAGUCCAUGCCGUAAACGAUGAGUGCUAAGUGUUGGAGGGUUUCCGCCCUUCAGUGCUGCAGCUAACGCAUUAAGCACUCCGCCUGGGGAGUACGACCGCAAGGUUGAAACUCAAAGGAAUUGACGGGGGCCCGCACAAGCGGUGGAGCAUGUGGUUUAAUUCGAAGCUACGCGAAGAACCUUACCAGGUCUUGACAUCUUCUGCCAAUCUUAGAGAUAAGACGUUCCCUUCGGGGACAGAAUGACAGGUGGUGCAUGGUUGUCGUCAG